rnacentral:lncRNA from 1 species
AACAAUGUUAUAUCACCCUAUUCAAAGGGUUGAAAGAGUCUUGUUUGGAGUUGUGUGGGGUUGAAUAAUUAUGUUUGCAAUAUUUCAGAAGUUGGUAGAAAAAGAAAAAUAGAAAAAGAAAAUAGAAACGAAAAAAAAUGAAUGAAAAAAAUUAGAAUGAUGUAUACAUGUCAAUACAUACUCCUUAUGAAAAAGAAGAAAAAAGAAGAAAAAAGAGAAAGGAGAAAAAAU